rnacentral:rRNA from 1 species
GUGCCAGCAGCCGCGGUAAUACGAAGGGGGCUAGCGUUGUUCGGAAUUACUGGGCGUAAAGCGCACGUAGGCGGAUUUUUAAGUCAGGGGUGAAAUCCCGAGGCUCAACCUCGGAACUGCCUUUGAUACUGGAGAUCUUGAGUUCGGAAGAGGUUGGUGGAACAGCUAGUGUAGAGGUGAAAUUCGUAGAUAUUAGCUAGAACACCAGUGGCGAAGGCGGCCAACUGGUCCGAUACUGACGCUGAGGUGCGAAAGCGUGGGGAGCAAACAGGAUUAGAAACCCCGGUAGUCC